AAUGGGCAUGUGAUGAGUCUCAUUAUCAAAUGGGUAAUUUGCGUCUGAAUUUCAUUGAUGCUAUAUCACCUUGGAGAACUGAUGCCCACA
rfam:Glycine soja cultivar W05 scaffold2194_37, whole genome shotgun sequence.